UAAGUUAAUAAGGGCGCACGGUGGAUGCCUUGGCACUAGGAGCCGACGAAGGACGUGACAAACGACGAUAUGCCUUGGGUAGCUGUAAGUAAGCGAUGAUCAGGGGAUUUCCGAAUGGGGGAACCCAACAGGUAAUACCUGUUACCUACAUCUGUUAAGGAUGUGAGGAGGAAGACGCAGUGAACUGAAACAUCUAAGUAGCUGCAGGAAGAGAAAGCAAAAGCGAUUGCCUUAGUAGCGGCGAGCGAAACGGCAGAAGGGCAAACCGAAGAGUUUACUCUUCGGGGUUGUAGGACUGCAAUGUGGACUCAAAGAUUAUAGAAGAAUGAUUUGGGAAGAUCAGCCAAAGAGAGUAAUAGCCUCGUAUUUAAAAUAGUCUUUGUACUUAGCAGUAUCCUGAGUACGGCGGGACACGUGAAAUCCCGUCGGAAUCUGGGAGGACCAUCUCCCAACCCUAAAUACUCCCUAGUGACCGAUAGUGAACCAGUACCGUGAGGGAAAGGUGAAAAGCACCCCGGGAGGGGAGUGAAAUAGAACCUGAAACCGUGUGCCUACAACAAGUUCGAGCCCGUUAAUGGGUGAGAGCGUGCCUUUUGUAGAAUGAACCGGCGAGUUACGUUAUGAUGCGAGGUUAAGUUGAAGAGACGGAGCCGUAGGGAAACCGAGUCUGAAUAGGGCGCCUUAGUAUCAUGACGUAGACCCGAAACCAUGUGACCUACCCAUGAGCAGGUUGAAGGUGCGGUAAGACGCACUGGAGGACCGAACCAGGGCACGUUGAAAAGUGCUUGGAUGACUUGUGGGUAGCGGAGAAAUUCCAAACGAACUUGGAGAUAGCUGGUUCUCUCCGAAAUAGCUUUAGGGCUAGCGUCGACAUUAGAGAUUCUUGGAGGUAGAGCACUGUUUGGGUGAGGGGUCCAUCCCGGAUUACCAAUCUCAGAUAAACUCCGAAUGCCAAUGAAUUAUGGUCGGCAGUCAGACUGCGAGUGCUAAGAUCCGUAGUCGAAAGGGAAACAGCCCAGACCACCAGCUAAGGUCCCAAAAUAAUUGUUAAGUGGAAAAGGAUGUGGGGUUGCACAGACAACUAGGAUGUUAGCUUAGAAGCAGCUAUUCAUUCAAAGAGUGCGUAAUAGCUCACUAGUCGAGUGACCCUGCGCCGAAAAUGUACCGGGGCUAAAACAAUUUACCGAAGCUGUGGAUACCUUUAUAGGUAUGGUAGGAGAGCGUUCUAUGUGUGAUGAAGGUAUACCGUGAGGAGUGCUGGAACGCAUAGAAGUGAGAAUGCCGGUAUGAGUAGCGAAAGACAGGUGAGAAUCCUGUCCACCGUAAGACUAAGGUUUCCAGGGGAAGGCUCGUCCGCCCUGGGUUAGUCGGGACCUAAGGAGAGACCGAAAGGUGUAUCCGAUGGACAACAGGUUGAUAUUCCUGUACUAGAGUAUGUAGUGAUGGAGGGACGCAGUAGGCUAACUAAAGCAGACGAUUGGAAGAGUCUGUCUAAGCAGUGAGGUGUGAAUUGAGUCAAAUGCUUAAUUCUAUAACAUUGAGCUGUGAUGGGGAGCGAAGUUUAGUAGCGAAGUUAGUGACGUCACACUGCCAAGAAAAGCUUCUAGCGUUUAAACAUACUCUACCCGUACCGCAAACCGACACAGGUAGUCGAGGCGAGUAGCCUCAGGUGAGCGAGAGAACUCUCGUUAAGGAACUCGGCAAAAUGACCCCGUAACUUCGGGAGAAGGGGUGCUGACUUUAAGUCAGCCGCAGUGAAUAGGCCCAAGCAACUGUUUAUCAAAAACACAGCUCUCUGCUAAAUCGUAAGAUGAUGUAUAGGGGGUGACGCCUGCCCGGUGCUGGAAGGUUAAGAGGAGUGCUUAGCGUAAGCGAAGGUAUGAAUUGAAGCCCCAGUAAACGGCGGCCGUAACUAUAACGGUCCUAAGGUAGCGAAAUUCCUUGUCGGGUAAGUUCCGACCCGCACGAAAGGCGUAAUGAUUUGGGCACUGUCUCAACGAGAGACUCGGUGAAAUUUUAGUACCUGUGAAGAUGCAGGUUACCCGCGACAGGACGGAAAGACCCCAUGGAGCUUUACUGCAGUUUGAUAUUGAGUGUCUGUACCACAUGUACAGGAUAGGUAGGAGUCUAAGAGAUCGGGACGCCAGUUUCGAAGGAGACGCUGUUGGGAUACUACCCUUGUGUUAUGGCCACUCUAACCCAGAUAGGUGAUCCCUAUCGGAGACAGUGUCUGACGGGCAGUUUGACUGGGGCGGUCGCCUCCUAAAAGGUAACGGAGGCGCCCAAAGGUUCCCUCAGAAUGGUUGGAAAUCAUUCGCAGAGUGUAAAGGUAUAAGGGAGCUUGACUGCGAGAGCUACAACUCGAGCAGGGACGAAAGUCGGGCUUAGUGAUCCGGUGGUUCCGUAUGGAAGGGCCAUCGCUCAACGGAUAAAAGCUACCCUGGGGAUAACAGGCUUAUCUCCCCCAAGAGUUCACAUCGACGGGGAGGUUUGGCACCUCGAUGUCGGCUCGUCGCAUCCUGGGGCUGUAGUCGGUCCCAAGGGUUGGGCUGUUCGCCCAUUAAAGCGGCACGCGAGCUGGGUUCAGAACGUCGUGAGACAGUUCGGUCCCUAUCCGUCGCGGGCGUAGGAAAUUUGAGAGGAUCUGCUCCUAGUACGAGAGGACCAGAGUGGACUUACCGCUGGUGUACCAGUUGUCUUGCCAAAGGCAUCGCUGGGUAGCUAUGUAGGGAAGGGAUAAACGCUGAAAGCAUCUAAGUGUGAAACCCACCUCAAGAUGAGAUUUCCCAUGAUUAUAUAUCAGUAAGAGCCCUGAGAGAUGAUCAGGUAGAUAGGUUAGAAGUGGAAGUGUGGCGACACAUGUAGCGGACUAAUACUAAUAGCUCGAGGACUUAUCCA
rnacentral:rRNA from 1 species